UAAGGGAGGAAGGCUGAUCGCAGGAGGCAGCUGAGAUCCUCUGUGAACGUGGAAGCUUGGGGCUUGAACACUUGGGAUCGGUUGGAAUGCGCAUGGACUCGGAAGCGAGCUGAUAUUCCGGAAGAUUGCAAUCGCCAUGGGAUGCGGAAAUGCUGGGAUUCUUGCGCUUGGGAUGAUGCAGACGUGGACUCGAAAGCUUGGAUCUUGAAGAGUGCUGGAGCGUGGAGAUGCUCGGGAUCGGAAGGAGGUUUGGAG
rnacentral:lncRNA from 1 species